AAGUCGUAACAAGGUUUCCGUAGGUGAACCUGCGGAAGGAUCAUUAACAUUCUUUUACUCUUUUUUGGGUUGUGGUUUGUGUUGUUUGUUUUUAUUAACAGAUGCACAUUCCACUCUCCUUUCACCCCAAAUGUGCAUUGUGUUGUGCUUUGUAUCAAAAGCACUUCUUUUUCUCAACUUUUCCAACCAUAAAACCUCUUUUUAUUACUUCUAGACUGACUUUAAACCACUUGAUUCGUACACUUCAUACUGUACGAUGACCAAUCAUAAUACAACUCUUAGCAACGGAUAUCUAGGCUCUC
rnacentral:misc_RNA from 1 species